GCCAGGCAUAGUGGCUCACACCUGUAAUCCCAGCUACUCAGGAGGCUGAGACAGCAGAACCGCUUGAACCCAGGAGGUGGAGGUUGCAGUGAGCAGAGAUUGCGCCACUGCACUCCAGCAUGGGAAACAAAGAGAGAAACUNNNNNNNNNNUUUUUUUUUUUUUUUUUUGAGAUGGAGUUUCUCUCUUUGUUUCCCAUGCUGGAGUGCAGUGGCGCAAUCUCUGCUCACUGCAACCUCCACCUCCUGGGUUCAAGCGGUUCUCCUGUCUCAG
rnacentral:SRP_RNA from 1 species